rnacentral:rRNA from 1 species
GCGGUGGAGUAUGUGGUUCAAUUCGACGCAACGCGAAGAACCUUACCUGGGUUUGACAUCCCGAGAAUCCCGUAGAAACACGGGCGUGCCUCUUUGAGGAACUCGGUGACAGGUGCUGCAUGGCUGUCGUCAGCUCGUGUCGUGAGAUGUUGGGUUAAGUCCCGCAACGAGCGCAACCCUUGCCUUUAGUUGCCAGCAUUGAGUUGGGCACUCUAAAGGGACUGCCGGUGUUAAACCGGAGGAAGGUGGGGAUGACGUCAAGUCCUCAUGGCCUUUAUGACCAGGGCUACACACGUACUACAAUGGCCGGUACAAAGGGCAGCCACUUAGCGAUAAGGAGCCAAUCCCGUAAAGCCGGUCUCAGUCCGGAUUGGAGUCUGCAACUCGACUCCAUGAAGUUGGAAUCGCUAGUAAUCGCAGAUCAGCACGCUGCGGUGAAUACGUUCCCGGGUCUU